AAAUGAAUAGACGGGGGCCCGCACAAGCAGUGGAGCAUGUGGUUUAAUUCGACGCUACGCGAAGAACCUUACCAGGACUUGACAUAUUAGUUAAGGCCGUAGAGAUACGGAGAUAUACAACUAUUACAGGUGGUGCAUGGUUGUCGUCAGCUCGUGUCGUGAGAUGUUGGGUUAAGUCCCGCAACGAGCGCAACCCUUGUCCUUAGUUACCAUCAUUAAGUUGGGGACUCUAAGGAGACCGCCGGUGUAAACCGGAGGAAGGUGGGGAUGACGUCAAAUCAUCAUGCCCUUUAUGUCCUGGGCGACACACGUGCUACAAUGGCCGAUACAAAGAGCAGCGAAACCGCGAGGUUAAGCGAAUCCCAUAAAGUCGGUCUCAGUUCGGAUUGGAGUCUGCAACUCGACUCCAUGAAGUCGGAAUUGCUAGUAAUCGCAGAUCAGCCAUGCUGCGGUGAAUACGUUCCCGGGCCUUGUACACACCGCCCGU
rnacentral:rRNA from 1 species